GCUAAAAAUCUAGCUCUACCAUACCCCCAUGUAAUUUCUACCCCCAAAUCACCAAAAUAAAACAUUUUAAUACUUUAGUAAAGGAGAUUGAAAAACUUUCGCGAAGCAAUAAAACUAGUACCGCAAGGGAAAGAUGAAAUAUAAAUGAAAAUCUUUAAGCAAUAAAAAGUAGAGACCAACCCUCGUACCUUUUGCAUCAUGGUUCAACUAGUCCAACCAAGCAAAAAGCAUUACAGUUUGACCCCCCGAAACUAGGCGAGCUACUUCAGGGCAGCUUUUUGAGCCAACCCGUCUCUGUCGCAAAAGAGUGGGAAGACCCCCAAGUAGCGGCGAUAUACCUAACGAGCCUAGUGAUAGCUGGUUAUUCGAGAAAAGGAUUUAAGUCCAACCUAAAAUCCCCCUUUUUUCAAUAAAAAUUCUACGAUUCUAGAGCAAUUCAAAUAAGGUACAGCUUAUUUGAAACAGGAUACAACCUCGCCUGACGGGUAAAAUAUAUUCUACGACUCUAAGUAGGCCUAAAAGCAGCCAUCUUUUUAAAAGCGUCACAGCUUAACCUUACUCAACCAUUAAUUCCACCACCACAUUUUAACCCUCACUAAGUAUCGAAUAAUCCUAUAUUCCUAUAGAAAAUUUUAUGUUGAAACUAGUAACAAGAAGAAUGAACUUCUCUUAAAUGCAAACGUAACUCAGAAAGGACAAACCACUGACAAUUAACGUCUUUGAUUAUUAAUCAGCAACCUCACAAGAAAAACCUUAUUCACCCCGCGUUAACCUGACACAAGAGCAUUUCAAGAAAGAUUAAAAGAAAGAGAAGGAACUCGGCAAAUAUUAACCCCGCCUGUUUACCAAAAACAUCGCCUCUUGAACAAAAAUAAGAGGUCCAGCCUGCCCAGUGACGCAUGUUCAACGGCCGCGGUAUCCUAACCGUGCGAAGGUAGCGUAAUCACUUGUUCUUUAAAUGAGGACUAGUAUGAAUGGCACCACGAGGGUUUUACUGUCUCCUCUAUCCAAUCAGUGAAACUAAUCUCUCCGUGAAGAAGCGGAGAUAUGCCUAUAAGACGAGAAGACCCUAUGGAGCUUUAAAUUUCCCCUCAGACGCCAGAUUUCUUAAACAAGUCACUAACUUUAUUACAAUAACCUUAACGUUAUGAGGGUGACUUUUAGGUUGGGGUGACCGCGGAGCACAAAUUAACCUCCAUGUUGAAUAGGCCUCUAAACCUUGAGCAAAGGGCUACGACCCUGUGCACUAAUAAAUUAACACCCAUUGACCCAAUAUUCUAUUGAUCAACGAACCAAGUUACCCUAGGGAUAACAGCGCAAUCUACUUCAAGAGUCCCUAUCGACAAGUGGGUUUACGACCUCGAUGUUGGAUCAGGGUGUCCCAGUGGUGCAGCCGCUACUAAUGGUUCGUUUGUUCAACGAUUAAAACCCU
rnacentral:rRNA from 1 species